UACGUAGGUGGCAAGCGUUGUCCGGAAUUAUUGGGCGUAAAGCGCGCGCAGACGGUCCUUUAAGUCUGAUGUGAAAGCCCACGGCUCAACCGUGGAGGGUCAUUGGAAACUGGGGGACUUGAGUACAGAAGAGGAAAGUGGAAUUCCACGUGUAGCGGUGAAAUGCGUAGAGAUGUGGAGGAACACCAGUGGCGAAGGCGACUUUCUGGUCUAUAACUGACGCUGAGGCGCGAAAGCGUGGGGAGCAAACAGG
rnacentral:rRNA from 1 species